GAUGAAGAACGUAGCGAAAUGCGAUAAGUAAUGUGAAUUGCAGAAUUCAGUGAAUCAUCGAAUCUUUGAACGCACAUUGCGCCCUUUGGUAUUCCGAAGGGCAUGCCUGUUCGAGCGUCAUUUCACCACUCAAGCCUGGCUUGGUAUUGGGCGCCGCGGUCGAUCCGCGCGCCUCAAAGUCUCCGGCUGAGCUGUCCGUCUCUAAGCGUUGUGAUUUCAUUAAUCGCUUCGGAGUGCGGGCGGCCGCGGCCGUUAAAUCUUUCACAAGGUUGACCUCGGAUCAGGUAGGGAUACCCGCUGAACUUAAGCAUAUCAAUAGCGGAGGA
rnacentral:misc_RNA from 1 species